rnacentral:rRNA from 2 species
AACGUAGGAGGCGAGCGUUAUUCGGAUUUACUGGGCGUAAAGCGUGUGUAGGUGGUGCGGUUAGUUGGAUGUGAAAGCUCCUGGCUUAACUGGGAGAGGUCGUUCAAUACUGCCGUGCUAGAGAGUGAGAGAGGGAAGUGGAAUUCCGGGUGUAGUGGUGAAAUGCGUAGAUAUCCGGAGGAACACCAGUGGCGAAAGCGACUUCCUGGCUCAUUUCUGACACUCAGACACGAAAGCUAGGGUAGCAAACGGG